rnacentral:rRNA from 1 species
UACGUAGGCAGCGAGCGUUGUUCGGAAUUAUUGGGCGUAAAGCGCGCGCAGGCGGUUUCUUAAGUCUGCUGUGAAAGCCCACGGCUCAACCGUGGAGGGUCAUUGGAAACUGGGGAACUUGAGUGCAGAAGAGAAAAGCGGAAUUCCACGUGUAGCGGUGAAAUGCGUAGAGAUGUGGAGGAACACCAGUGGCGAAGGCGGCUUUUUGGUCUGUAACUGACGCUGAGGCGCGAAAGCGUGGGGAGCAAACAGG